ACAGGCACACAGGAGUUGAUUAGAUAGGUUCUGACCUUAGAUCUGGUCGGGGGCGGAUACCACUUCGCAGCCGGAUGUUGAUGUUGCCUGAUGUACGAGGAAGCGAAACAGCUGUGUGCACACUCGGGUGGCGGUGACAACGCAUGGGAACCGAUUCGGCGAGGAUGAGGUCGUUGUGGAGAUCCCUGGCUGCGUGGCACUUCGUCAUGUCGUGGACUUGGUUGGAUUGAUUUGUUGUUCUAUGCACAGCCGAUUCUAACUUUAUCAGGUUUUCGGAGUGUCACUCAUUCCUCAGGAUAGAUGUUUCCAUGUAGAUUUAACCCUCUGCGUUGACGUUCGUUAUACACAUUGGGAAACUGUAACCGUGUUGAUGCCUACAACUUGUGUGAUCGAUGCUCGCAGGAAUUGAAAUGCUGGUAUAUAUUUUGACCGGCACAAUCUUAGAUGUAUCUGAGUUGCAUAUGUAUUGAUCGAAGAUAAGUAAUUUCUGAAUUGGUGACAGUUUCCACGCACACAUCAUUGCAGUAUGAAAGAGCAUGCAAGUGUGAAAUGAAAUCAAUCGUAAUUCACAGUUUGUGAUAAUCAGGAGAUUCCUUCUAGAUUGCAGGAUACACAUGUCCGUGUAGGAAGUGUGGACCUAAGAUGUGAAUGUUCUGUUGUUGUUGAGCAGGGCAGCUGGUUGUGUUAAGUUCUUCUGUGGAAUUCACUUCAAUGAAGUGGAACCGAGAUGUUUCGAAUAGGGUCCCUGAUAUGUUUUUCUGCAGAGUAGUACAACUAAGUUAUUCACACGUCCAGACGACAAAGCGAAGGCUUCAACGCGAAAGGUUCCCUGUGGUACGUAAUAUUGAUCCAACCAGGGAGACGAACUCGUGUGAGAAUUGGAUGGAAGAGAAUUGAUGCGAACUUGGUUGCAACUGAUAACCGGCAGCAAAGGCUUGAUCAAUAUUAAGCGCAAGGCAUAACAGAGCGUGCCAACCCACAAAAAAGGUUACACAAUUGCGUGCCCGGGUUGAACAAACAAAUUGGAAUCAGUGUACAGAACUGUGAAUACAGCGAUCAAGUGGAGAGCGGCUAUGAAGUAGUAGUUAAGUAAGUGUAAUUGUUGCCCAUUUUAUACGGUGUUGAUCGAUCCAAGUAGCAUUGUAGUCAAAUUAUGGCCUAUGUAAUAAACGUUCCACUCUAGUAUUGUCUUUUCACCUUCUAAAACUACUUGACAUUAUCAAAUGAGCAAUUUGAAUUUAUUCGCUAUAGCUAGAAUGCCUAAGGUAAAUAUGGACUUUGAUUUAUGAACAAAGUUUCUAAUUGGUUCACUAUUUUGUUUUGAUUGUAUUUUUUUUUACAAAACAAAAAAAAAAAAAAAAAAAAAAAAAAAACUUUAUAAAAUUCAUUCUCCUAUGUCAUAUGGCAUUUGUAGGAUAAUACUUCUUGUAUUAGUCCAUUUUAAUCUUUGUGGCCAUAGAACUACUCCUUCUUUUUGUGGUGCUUGAUAUUAUUUAUUCUUUUAUGAAUGACUUAUUACAAUUUACUAUUAUUUGAUUGUUUUUAAAAGAUGUUAGAAAGGUUUUUCUAUUUUCCAACAUCUUUGUACCAAGUGACAUCCAAAUUUGGAUAUUAUUUGUUGAUGUGUUAUAUAAUUAAUGGUGCAAAAAUGACCAAUAUAUAAUUUUUAAUGCAUAUUUUGACUAAAAUGGCAAAAUAUGAUAUUACACAAUACCAUUUAUUUCUUCUAAAAACAAACCAAGUUUUUUUACAUAUAUAUAUAUAUAUUAUUUAUUACCAAAUUUGGCAAGAUAAUGCUCUAUGUUAUCAACCUAAAUAAUCAUUUUUGAGUGGAAGUUGUUUGUAUUGCUUGUUGCAUCCAAAAGAUCUCUUAUCAUUCAUCACUUCCAAACAUCAAAGCUUUUAGAAGAUGGAGAGGGAUAAAAUCCAAUCUACAAUAUCUACGAGUUUUGGAUGUUCUACCUUUGUAGAAUUCUUAUACAACUACAUCUUUACCACACUUCCAUGGAUAGUGUGAUGCAAACUAUAUAAAAUGUCUUUAAUCUAAAAAGUCAACUUUUAAGCACUAAUAUUAUAUUUAUUAUUCUCUUUUGAGUUGGCACUCUUAGAACAAGUUAUAGUUGUUUAAUAUUGUACCAAAGCCAAAUAUAAAACCAUAGCUACAACUUUAAGCUACUCAAUGUGAUUUCAAGUAUCAUUAAAACAGCUUGUAUACAAUAUAUUAUUGCCAAACACAAUUUAUUGUAACACCCAAUCUUGCAUUGCAAUGACUAAGAAUCCUAGCUUUCAUGCUUGAACAACAUAUGUUGAUGUACAAUACCACAAUAUUUAUGCAAAAGCACAAUGAAAAAUAAAGUUAUUACAUGACAUGUUUCUUGAAAAUAAACUAAAGGCCAAUAUUAUUUACUUUAGCCAAAGCAUUUUACAUCUUAGUGUGAUUGAUUUGACUUCAACAAAUUUUAGAUGAACUUAGUUUAUGCUGAUUAGCAUAUAAGGAGAGGUGGUAGAACACAUAUUCACCGAAAACAACAGUAAUAAAUAAUAAAUAAAUGUUACUACCCACAAAGUAGUUUGGUAGGUAGUUGCAACCAUCCCCGCCCCAUCCAUGAAGACAUGAAAAGUCACCCCUAAUCUUCACCUCCUGGAUUAACAUCGAAUAAUAUAUGAGCACGUUGACAAUUCCAGCCCCGGCAUAUUAUUAGACCUGCCCCCCGGCAAUCCAAAUGGCGGCACGGCAGCCCCUUUCCCUGCAGCUACCACCACCAACCUGGGAUGCUCAUCCCGGCCCAGCAGCAGCAUCCUCCCCCGCCGCACAACACGACACACCGUGUGUGUCGCUGUCCCUCACCUCAACUCAAUGCUAUAACAUCCCCCCGCCGCCGCGCUCCCUCUCCACCUUCAUCACCCGCUCUCGUUGUCGUUGCUUGAGCACCCGGCUGCGCCACCCCGAGCUCCCCAUCUUCGCCCUUCCCCCAAUCGGACAGGGUGUCGGGGUUCCAUCUGCACUGCGCCGCAGUCCCAGCGCCAGCGCCAUGAAGCUCCUCGCGGUCGCAGCCGUGUCCUUGAUCCUGCUCGUGACCUCUCAGAUGGUGGUCACAUCCCACGCAGCCGGCUGCGACAUCCUCAAACUAACGCCGUGCGUUGCAGCCAGCAGGAAUGCCAAGGUGAUGCCGUCCAGGCAAUGCUGCUCCAACAUCGCCGGCAUGGGCAAGGGGCUUCCGGGAGCCAAGUGUCUGUGUUCUCUCCUGAGCCACCCUCUGGCCAGGUCGCAAGGGGUGGCUCCCCGGAUCGCUCUUGGCAUCCCCCAGAAAUGCCGCAUCGCCGUCCCGAGGGGCUUCGUGUGCCAAGGUACGCUUUCACGCCUCCUCCCGCGCUGAUGCAGUGUCUGUGCCUUCCAGCCGCCCGGGCGCCCCAGAGGGUGGGCUGUAGCAGCGAUCUCCCCCGCGUCAUGUGGUGUUGUGUUUGCUCCUGCUGCGUUGCGCUGCGUUGCGUUGCCUUGGGCGUGUGGGCUGUGAACAUGCUGGCGACAGUGGGUCGGGGAGUGCACCGCCUCGUUGGAUGCGGAGCCGAUCGCGAUGAUGGGCGGCCACUCACGCCUUUGAGUUGCGUGCUGUGCAGGAAUUCGCGUCCCCGGAAGCUGAGCUCUCAGGGUCCAAGCCGGAGCACCGCCGUGGCCACGUGGGGUGGGAGUGGACGGAAAGCUUCUGAGCGUGCAGCCGAGUAGAGUGGCAUUGUGUACUCCGCUGUGAAAGCGGGACAAUUAUUUAUAAAUGUGACAACGUCUUUCCGUGACAUCCGGCACGCAGUGCUGGUGUGACAGCCUUUGUAAUCGUAAUGUGGUGUGCGAUGCGUCCAACGCUGGUCCAGUCGUGUGGUGUGUUGUUGUACCCGUCAGGAUACGGUGCAUGGGAGUGUGUGUGAGACACAGAGCAAACGGCAUCACGCUGCAGGGGUUGUGGAAUUGUGGCAGCAUGGAACUGAACUGCGCAGCACCGGAUUUAGUCCGUCCGGGUGGAAACAAGACAGGCACACAGGAGUUGAUUAGAUAGGUUCUGACCUUAGAUCUGGUCGGGGGCGGAUACCACUUCGCAGCCGGAUGUUGAUGUUGCCUGAUGUACGAGGAAGCGAAACAGCUGUGUGCACACUCGGGUGGCGGUGACAACGCAUGGGAACCGAUUCGGCGAGGAUGAGGUCGUUGUGGAGAUCCCUGGCUGCGUGGCACUUCGUCAUGUCGUGGACUUGGUUGGAUUGAUUUGUUGUUCUAUGCACAGCCGAUUCUAACUUUAUCAGGUUUUCGGAGUGUCACUCAUUCCUCAGGAUAGAUGUUUCCAUGUAGAUUUAACCCUCUGCGUUGACGUUCGUUAUACACAUUGGGAAACUGUAACCGUGUUGAUGCCUACAACUUGUGUGAUCGAUGCUCG
rnacentral:lncRNA from 1 species